GCAGCGUGAUCACGAACGUGACUUUGGCCUUUAAGAAGAACCUGACUGAGGAGGAGAAGUACGAGACUGCGGCGCAGCUGUUCCAGGCCAGCGAGAGCGGAGACCUCGGCUUCACUACGGACAGGGUCACGGUGGACUACGGAGACGGUACGUCCGAGACGCUGGAGAGGUGCACGUGCAGCAGCCAGCCCUCGGUCACGUGCACCACCAAAGGCAGCACGUGCGUGCCCACCUGCGUGCUCAACAAGAACUACUGCAACACCGGCACGUGCAGCAGCGACAUCAGCGCCGGAACGCUGAACUGCAAAUGUCCCUCGAACUUUGUGGGAGACCGGUGUAAUAAUCCACAGAUAGGCGG